UGGUGGUGGUGGCGGAGAGGGGAAACCUCAAAUCCUCGCGAAGCAAUUAGGGCUUAAUGAGACACUUCCUACACAUCUGGUUUCAAUCCUGGCGGCGUUUCGGGGACUCGCAGAGCUCGGGGAGGGAGGAAGGUGGGGGAAUCCCGGCCUCUUCCUCUCCCUCCUCCCCUGGGGAUGCUCCCAAUGAUCCCAAAAUCCCAAAACCUCUGCGGGUUGUUCGGUGCUGAUGCGCUGCCAGUUGAUGGAGCCGCUUUUGAGAGAGGCUGUAACGCGCCUAAUUAGUGUGUAAUUAACCCAAAGCGUGCCCCAGACUUCAGAAAAUUCCUGAACUCAUUGCCAACCGCGAGGGAAAAAAA